ensembl:misc_RNA
UUGAUAGCCGUGGAGACUGAAGUCCUCCAUCUAUCCACAAAACAGGCACAACCUGGGCAGGAGCAGUGUAAGUUUUCCCUCCAGUGUACCUCAGCUCUGAUCUGGAAGGACCCACCUCCAAGGGUGAGAGGAUAUUUAAGUCUCCCUGUCUGUUCAGUUCUUGGCUUUU